UGAGUAUUACAUCAGGUACUGAUAAUUUAUCCAAUCAGUACCUUUUGUGAUAUUCGUA
rnacentral:pre_miRNA from 1 species